rnacentral:rRNA from 1 species
AAAUUGAAGAGUUUGAUCAUGGCUCAGAUUGAACGCUGGCGGCAGGCCUAACACAUGCAAGUCGAGCGGAAACGAGUUAUCUGAACCUUCGGGGAACGAUAACGGCGUCGAGCGGCGGACGGGUGAGUAAUGCCUAGGAAAUUGCCCUGAUGUGGGGGAUAACCAUUGGAAACGAUGGCUAAUACCGCAUAAUGCCUACGGGCCAAAGAGGGGGACCUUCGGGCCUCUCGCGUCAGGAUAUGCCUAGGUGGGAUUAGAUAGUUGGUGAGGUAAGGGCUCACCAAGGCGACGAUCCCUAGCUGGUCUGAGAGGAUGAUCAGCCACACUGGAACUGAGACAC